CGGGUGUAGCUCAGUUGGUUAGAGCGCCGGCCUGUCACGCCGGAGGUCGCGAGUUCAAGUCUCGUCACUC
rnacentral:tRNA from 1 species